GAAAUAUGUUAAGUUUAUGGUACUAUUAUUAGUAUAAUAGGGAAAGUGGUGAAAAUCCACUACAGCCCCCGCUACUGUAACGAAGACGAAUCUCGACCACUGAGCUUGUGCUUGGGAAGGUGAGAGGAGAUUGAUGCGUGAGUCAGGAGACCUGCCAUAAACAACUUGCUGUG
rnacentral:ncRNA from 2 species